UACGGAGGUGGCAAGCGUUGCUCGGAAUCACUGGGCGUAAAGGGCGCGUAGGCGGGGAGGUAAGUCAGACGUGAAAUCCCUCGGCUUAACCGGGGAACUGCGUCUGAUACUGGAUGGCUUGAGGUUGGGAGAGGGAUGCGGAAUUCCAGGUGUAGCGGUGAAAUGCGUAGAUAUCUGGAGGAACACCGGUGGCGAAGGCGGCAUCCUGGACCAAUUCUGACGCUGAGGAGCGAAAGCCAGGGGAGCAAACGGG
rnacentral:rRNA from 1 species